AACGAGAAGGCAUCUUUUUGUUAUUAAAGAAUUUCGAUAACCGAUGGGGAUGCGUUCCAUUAGUUUGUUGGCGGGGUAACGGCCCACCAAGACAUCGAUGGAUAGGGGUUCUGAGAGGAAGGUCCCCCACAUUGGAACUGAGACACGGUCCAAACUCCUACGGGAGGCAGCAGUGAGGAAUAUUGGUCAAUGGACGAGAGUCUGAACCAGCCAAGUAGCGUGAAGGAUGACUGCCCUAUGGGUUGUAAACUUCUUUUAUAUGGGAAUAAAGUGAGCCACGUGUGGCUUUUUGUAUGUACCAUACGAAUAAGGAUCGGCUAACUCCGUGCCAGCAGCCGCGGUAAUACGGAGGAUCCGAGCGUUAUCCGGAUUUAUUGGGUUUAAAGGGAGCGUAGGCGGACUAUUAAGUCAGCUGUGAAAGUUUGCGGCUCAACCGUAAAAUUGCAGUUGAUACUGGUCGUCUUGAGUGCAGUAGAGGUAGGCGGAAUUCGUGGUGUAGCGGUGAAAUGCUUAGAUAUCACGAAGAACUCCGAUUGCGAAGGCAGCUUACUGGACUGUAACUGACGCUGAUGCUCGAAAGUGCGGGUAUCAAACAGGAUUAGAUACCCUGGUAGUCCACACAGUAAACGAUGAAUACUCCGCUGUUUGCGAUAUACGGCAAGCGGCCAAGCGAAAGCAUUAAGUAUUCCACCUGGGGAGUACGCCGGCAACGGUGAAACUCAAAGGAAUUGACGGGGGCCCGCACAAGCGGAGGAACAUGUGGUUUAAUUCGAUGAUACGCGAGGAACCUUACCCGGGCUUAAAUUGCAUCUGAAUAAUUUGGAAACAGAUUAGCCGUAAGGCAGAUGUGAAGGUGCUGCAUGGUUGUCGUCAGCUCGUGCCGUGAGGUGUCGGCUUAAGUGCCAUAACGAGCGCAACCCUUAUCUUUAGUUACUAACAGGUCAUGCUGAGGACUCUAGAGAGACUGCCGUCGUAAGAUGUGAGGAAGGUGGGGAUGACGUCAAAUCGGCACGGCCCUUACGUCCGGGGCUACACACGUGUUACAAUGGGGGGUACAGAAGGCAGCUACACAGCGAUGUGAUGCUAAUCCCAAAAGCCUCUCUCAGUUCGGAUUGGAGUCUGCAACCCGACUCCAUGAAGCUGGAUUCGCUAGUAAUCGCGCAUCAGCCACGGCGCGGUGAAUACGUUCCCGGGCCUUGCACA
rnacentral:rRNA from 1 species